rnacentral:rRNA from 1 species
UGGGGAAUCUUGCACAAUGGGGGAAACCCUGAUGCAGCGACGCCGCGUGAGUGAUGAAGCCCUUCGGGGUGUAAAGCUCUUUCGGCAGGGACGAUAAUGACGGUACCUGCAGAAGAAGCUGCGGCUAACUACGUGCCAGCAGCCGCGGUAAUACGUAGGCAGCAAGCGUUGUUCGGAAUUACUGGGCGUAAAGAGUGCGUAGGCGGUUUGGCAAGUUUGGUGUGAAAUCUCCUGGCUUAACUGGGAGGGUGCGCCGAAAACUGUCAGGCUAGAGUGUGGGAGAGGAAAGCGGAAUUCCUGGUGUAGCGGUGAAAUGCGUAGAUAUCAGGAGGAACACCUGCGGUGUAGACGGCUUUCUGGACCACUACUGACGCUGAGGCACGAAAGCGUGGGGAGCAAAACAGGAUUAGAUACCCUGGUAGUCCACGCCCUAAACGAUGCGGACUUGGUGUUGCCCUUCAUUGGGUCAGUGCCGCAGUUAACGCGGUAAGUCCGCCGCCUGGGGAGU